GCCGGUGUGGCGGAACUGGAAGACGCGCCUGGCUUAGGACCAGGUGUCCGAAAGGGCGUGGGAGUUCGACUCUCUCCACCGGUACCA
rnacentral:tRNA from 1 species